GCAGUGUAGCUACUGGAGUGAGGGCAUGGAAGCUGGCCUGGGCAGCUGAUGCAGACUAGGCAGGGCAGACAGCUCCGCAGCAGGGCCACAGGACUCCCAGCCUGAAGCCGAGCUCCUACGGUCUUCCUUGGGACAGAUCAAUAUCAACCUUGUGACAGGCAACAUGUCUCCUUGGGGAGUUGUCUUCUGUCCCCUCAGCCUAAGCCCAGUGGCUGUGAUUGAAGGUUGAAAAGGCGCGUUCUCCCGAGGACAAGUCCCAGGAUGAAGCAGGAUGGAUCCAUGACGUAUGUCUGUGCUUUAGGAAGGAAAGCACCAGGAAAAGCGGCCAUGAAAGAAUCUGCAGGAUGGACAUCAUUGGAGCCCACUCCAGGAGUGCUGAAACCCACAGAAGGAUCCAGGGCCAGGAAGACAAUCUCUACAAGCAAGGCCAUGUAUGGGGGGUGUCCAGCAAUCCCAUGUGAACCUGAGCGGGUCACCAUGCAUAAGCCUUCAAGUCACGUGGAGGUCAACAGUCAUCUCAGCGAUCACCAACUCUACAGCAGUCUUUCACCCACUGCCAACCCAAAUCUGCCAGUCUAAAGAGGUGAAGCUUAUCCCCCAAGGAUAUCCCUGCUGCAACUGUACUGGCAUGAUUCCACAGGAGCUGGGUGGCCAAGGCCAGAAGAGUACCAGAGAGGCAUGUGACCACCCUCAAGGUGCUUCCUGGUUCCCAAGGUGUCAUGGGAUUGACAUCAUGUUCCAAUGGCUGUAUCCAAUAGCAGGGAUAGGUGCCAGGAACCAUUUGGUUGUUGUUUUUGAGACAGGGUCUCUCACUGGCUUGGAGUCACCAAGUAGCUAGGCUGGCUGGCCAGUGACCCGCAGAGAUCCACCUGCUUCUGCUUGAACUCCAACAUUAGGGGUCUGCAGCCCUGGAUCUUCCCUAGAUGACAAAGUGUGUGCUUGUGUGUUGACCCUGGCUCUCCUUGUUGGUCAAAGCCACAUGAAAAUGGUAACUUGCUGUCUAUGGCAGAGCAGAGCAUCAUUUACUGGAUAGAGUCAGCAUAUACAAGCUGCAUCUCAGCUCCCAAACGAGGACAGCCCCGAGGUUUACAAGGCCAUUGUCAAGGAGAACAUUUAGUCUCUGACUCUGCUGGCACCAGCCUGAAGAUCCAGUUGUCCCCACGGAGCGUGCAGCCUUCCUAAAGAUCCGUCAUCCUCCUGUCUCCGGGAAGCUGUGGGGUAAGGAUGCACAAGUCAGCUUGUUUUCAUGUUUACUUCCGGCUGGAUAGCAUUUCACGGCUACCGGUUUGUGCCACCAGAAAGUGUCAACCUUGAAGAACUGCUUCCUCAGCGCCCUUGAAGAGCAGAUGAAGGAGUCUGGCUCUCAAGCAGCCUGAGUUUAAGACCCCGUCACCUUCCUACGACCCUUGAGAGUUCCUUGCUGUGAGGUCAAAGAAGAGACUGACUCUCCUCUCUCCACUGUCUACAUAGUUCAGAGCUAGAAUAGCACAGGAGAGAUGCCCAGGUGUCACUAAAUACUUCCUACUUAAAGGACCUCGCCCUGUCCGUCAGGACCUCAUCUCUAAGCUUCACUCACUUCCGGAAUGCAGUUCUUCCUCUGGUCUCUUCGCAUCCAGAGUGUGUGGUGAAUCAAUGAAUAAAUGAAUGAACAAGGGCUCCAUCUGGAUUGUUGGAGCCAUUGCCUGGGGGAAGUAAAGGACUGAUCAGGACCCUCCUGGUUAAGGUUUCUCUGGAGUGAAGCAUCCUGAAGCCAGUGAAGGUGUGGGAACAAUAAAUCCCCUGCUGUUGGCUUCCCCUGACAUAUCCACAUCAAGAUUUUCCAGCCUGUGACUGACUCACAUGAGGAACCCCGAGAGACCCGGGCUGAUUGCCGUGUGUCACCUCCUCAGCUAUCAUCCCUCAUGCUCUCUCACAAAGGAGUACAUUGAGCUCACUGUCACAAUGUUUUAGGAUGUGGCAGCAAUUAAAAGCCACCGCUGGUGCUUCCUCAGACAAGGCUUCUGCUGGGAGCUACAGCAACAGAUGCGCCCUACCUCCCUGGGCUUCACAUGCCCGUGUGCACCCCACCUGCCCACAGUCCUCGCUCUCUUGCACACUUGCCUCUUUAGCUCUCUUGUACACUUUCAUUUUCUUGGCCAUCCUUCAAAAUUGUGCAAUCUAUCAGGCCCUUAUCUGAGACAUGAGGGUAACAACAUCACGCACACACACACACACACAAAUAACUACUGUUCCAAUCUCUGGUUAUUUUUCAUUCUUUCCUGGAUGGACUUGAUCUGAGCAGAUCACUUGGAGUUGGGUAGAUUUGUGAGUCUGCCACCUGACAUGUUCAAUAAAACUUCUGAACCCCUCACUGUCUACAGCCUGAGAGUACCAAUAAAAGAUGCUCAGCUGUGGGAAGCCACAUGUGCCGUUGCAGAGUGGCACUGACUACUGCUGGCCACCACGCAUAAGAUUGGACAAACAACCAAUGNNNNNNNNNNNNNNNNNNNNNNNNNNNNNNNNNNNNNNNNNNNNNNNNNNCUAUAAAAGCAGCACCAGUUCUGGGCUCGAAGUCUUUUCGCCUCUACAAUCAAGCUCUCCCAAUAAACGUGUGUAGAAGGAUCCUGUUGCAGCGUCGUUCUUCCUGGCCAGUCGAGCGCGCGCAAGACUCAGCAAUAGAAACGUUUAUACCUGCCAACCAGCCAACACCAUCCCUUCCAAAACCUCCUAGGUGUUCUGGGCAGAAAGGGUCCCCACCAACCUUCAGUUCAGUAUGUCUGGAGUCUUAAGUUGGCUCCUUCCGGAGGAUUCCCCGAAAGAGAAUUGGACAUUGUUCCUGGCCUUGGCUCUGUAGAAGCCUCUUUCCUUUAGGAGAGCUUUGUUCUUCUGGUCUGCAGAAUGACACUCCCAGUCAUGAGCAGAAGCUGGGUGGGUGCCCUUCAAGCCAGAGGACCCACUGUCCAGUGGCCAAGCACCUGACAAAGGCAGUUUACAGAUGGAAGUGUUUAUGUGGGCUCACAAUUUGAGGGUCUGUCCCACCCUGGUGGAGACACUUUGUAUCUAUGGUCAGGAAGUAGAGAGGGAUGAACGCUGGUACCCAGCUCAUCUCUUCCUCUUAUUCAGCCCAGCAUUCUGACCCACAGGAUGCUAUUCUUACACUCAGUGUGCAUUUUCUAAUCUCAGUUAACCUAAUCUACAAACUCUUUCCCAGGCACACUUACAAGUUUGUCUCUUCAGUGAUUCUAGGUCUUGCCAUUGGGUUAAUUGAAGAUAUUAACCCACUGUGAUGUGUAGGUAGAUCUGAGUGCACAUAAUCCCCACCAUGGUCACUUUUUUCUCCCACACCCCACCAGAAAGUGUGCUCUGAGCUUGGAUAUUUGCAAAACACUGGAGAGAAGUUGGUGUCUCUGAUGAAGGCUAUCAACCCUCAUCCCUGAAGUUGCUCAUAUUCAAAGGUCCCACUUUCAUAGCAUAAAAGACUGCUCUUACAAAAGCCUCAUUUGCCCAGACUGGAAAGCAAGCCUUGCAAACUGCCCUGCACGUUGCUGUGUGUUGGACAGUUUUCAACACCUCCACCAUCUGUUGGCUGAGUUACAUCCGCUAAACUGUAUGUUGUAAAAAGAUGGGGACAGGACUGAAGUUGCAUGGCAACUGGAAAACCUGCUGAAGAGGAAUGGCCAGUCCUGCCUCAUAGCCUGCUGCCACCCAGCCUGGAGAACUGAAUUCUAGAGGCUAGACUUCUUUUGUUUGUACCAGGACUUGCUGUUUCAGGAAACCUGAUGGUAUGUGGUUUCUAUGAAGUCAGCUCCCUUUUUCUGUUUUUACAAAUGAGCUUAAAAAAUAAAAUCAAGGCAUGAUUUCAUAC
ensembl:antisense Dbhos dopamine beta hydroxylase, opposite strand